CGAAAUGCGAUACGUAGUGUGAAUUGCAGAAUUCAGUGAAUCAUCGAAUCUUUGAACGCACAUUGCGCCCUUUGGUAUUCCAAAGGGCAUGCCUGUUCGAGCGUCAUUUGUACCCUCAAGCUUUGCUUGGUGUUGGGCGUUUUUGUCUUUGGCCCGCCAAAGACUCGCCUUAAAAUGAUUGGCAGCCGGCCUACUGGUUUCGCAGCGCAGCACAUUUUUGCGCUUGCAAUCAGCAAAAGAGGACGGCAAUCCAUCAAGACUCCUUCUCACGUUUGACCUCGGAUCAGGUAGGGAUACCCGCUGAACUUAAGC
rnacentral:misc_RNA from 1 species